rnacentral:rRNA from 1 species
GACGAACGCUGGCGGCGUGCCUAAUACAUGCAAGUAGAACGCACAGUUUAUACCGUAGCUUGCUACACCAUAGACUGUGAGUUGCGAACGGGUGAGUAACGCGUAGGUAACCUGCCUGGUAGCGGGGGAUAACUAUUGGAAACGAUAGCUAAUACCGCAUAAUAUUAAUUAUUGCAUGAUAAUUAAUUGAAAGGUGCAAUUGCACCACUACCAGAUGGACCUGCGUUGUAUUAGCUAGUAGGCGAGGUAACGGCUCACCUAGGCAACGAUACAUAGCCGACCUGAGAGGGUGAUCGGCCACACUGGGACUGAGACACGGCCCAGACUCCUACGGGAGGCAGCAGUAGGGAAUCUUCGGCAAUGGACGAAAGUCUGACCGAGCAACGCCGCGUGAGUGAAGAAGGUUUUCGGAUCGUAAAGCUCUGUUGUAAGAGAAGAACGGGUGUGAGAGUGGAAAGUUCACACUGUGACGGUAUCUUACCAGAAAGGGACGGCUAACUACGUG